GGAGUCAAGCGAGUUGAGGAUGGGAUUCUCGAAUUUCGAGUCGCUGUUUCUGGCGACGUCGUUUUCCGUGACGGCGACGGCGAGGAGGUCGCCUUUCCAUUCGGCGACGUCGAGGUCCUUGGCGGUGAAGGAGAGGUUAGGGGUUUCGGUGGUGGUGGGGUUUGUGAGGCCGAGAGUGGCGUGGGCCAUGAGGUUGCGGAGAGGGGUGGCGGUGGAGGAGAGGCGGAGGAGGGAGGUGGUGGUGGUGGUGGGGGUUAGAGGGAGAGGGAGAGAGUUGAGGAAGAGACGAGAGGGAGAAGUGAGGAGAAGUGAAGUGGUG
rnacentral:lncRNA from 1 species